GCUGCUAUGGUGGAAUAGGCAGACACGCCAGCUUGAGGUGCUGGUGGGAGAAAUCCCGUAUGGGUUCGAGUCCCAUUAGCAGUACCA
rnacentral:tRNA from 1 species